ACGGAAAUGAAGACUGGCCUUUCCUGUGUCCUCAAGGGAACCGCAAGCCUGCACCCCUAACAGCUGAGCCUUCAAGCAAAUGGAAUGUUGGGCCCUUUCCAAACUCCCACUUAAAAGAAUAUGAGGGAAGUAGGGGGAUGUGUUCUCUUUGUGCGAAACUCUGAAUGGACGCAUUGUGGGAGGCCAGAGGAAAACUUAAUUUGGGACAGCCCAAAUGGUUCUUCAGAAUCUCAUCCUGUCUAUCUAUAGAAGAGUCAGAAGAGAGUCAUUGUUGCACAAAGAGGUGCAUAUCUGGAGAACACAAUCUCAGCUGCCUUUGAACCUAUGUAUGUGUUGAAUUUCUGUGUCAAAGUCCUCACUGAGAUGAAAAUAAGUAAUAACUGUCAUGUGUGCCUCAUGGCCUUAAAACCUUGCAUAUACUAUGGCCCAUACUUUCUCGCUCUGAGAGCCAGAGUGUAGGCAUUCCUACACCCAACUUAGCCACUCAGACAAGGACAGCAACUUAGGAGAUGGCUAAGCAACAGGAUAUAAGGAGUCCAGAUCCUUGAAUGAUAACAUGAAACCUACCCAUCCCACUAACUUGGACUGCUCACUUCAAAACUCUCACAUAAGGGGAAAAGGAUUUGUUUUCUUUAAGCCAUUCUACUUUGGAAACUUUUUGUUACUCUAUCUUAGCUGUACCAUACCCAAUUGCCCUGAAGAAACACAUCUAAAAACCAAGAAGAAAACCAUAAGCCAAAUAGAAAGUGGGCAAAAGUCAUGAAUAGGCAAUUUAUGAAGGAAGAAAUGUAGAUGGCCAAUAAACACAUGGAAACAUUCAAACUUACCAGCAAUUAAGAAACUACAGAUAAUAUUAUAACAAGGUAUCUAAUUGCUUAUCAACUGAAUUCACUAUAUAUAAUGUAUAUGAUUAUAUAUGCAAUGUAUAUAAUGUACUUAUAUCUUAGCAAUUCACUUUCUGGCAUUCAUUUUAAGGAAUUAUUGUUCAGAAUAUGGGAAUUCAUUUAGAGUUGUUAGGUAAUAAUUUAUAUAAAUCAGAAUUGAAAGGAAUUUAUGCUUAAUAUCAGGUUAUUGAAUUAAAUAAAUCUGGGUAGA